rnacentral:sRNA from 1 species
UCCUUGUUAGAUUCUAAACUUUAAUACUUUUUUCUAUGCCAAGUUGUACGAUAAUAAAAAAGAAAGAAAAAUAUUCUAUUAUAUUUUCCUUUCAUCUUGAUUUAAUGAACAAUUAAUCAAUUUUACGUUUGACAAGUCGAAAACCAUAAAAGACUCAUUCCUUAAGGUUGCUGGAAUUACUGGAAUCUAGGGAGAAUACAUACCGGGUAUUUAUACCUUAUUGCAAAUUUAGGAUAUAUGAUUUAUAAAGAAAACUUAAAAUAGGUUUGAACUUUUAACUAUGUGCAGGCAACAUUUAAAUCAGGGGAUUUUUUUUUACAGACAAGAUAGUCAGAAAUAACAUGGCGUUUAAAUAAGUAGUUCUUCUUUUAAAAUUGUUCAAAAUGUGAAGUUACUUCACUUAUGCUUGAAAAGUGCUGCUAAAAUCCAUGUUCUGAGUUGUCUUAACGUAACGUAUCGUUUUUAUUCAAAAUGUACAACUUUUUUAAAAAUGGACAAAUAACUAUUUCAUCAAGAAGAAAUUAGGGUUUUAGCAACUGAUUUUAUAUAACCUAUAGGUACUUUUGUUAAAAUUGAUAAUUUUACUAAAUUUAAUAGGCUUAUGCCCGUAUCUAUGUCCAUAUAUAUUAUUUCUCUAUAAUAUUAUGUUUAUUGGUUAGUAAAAAUUUAGGGGAAGUGUUGGUUCAUUCCAUUUUAUUCAUAGGUAUAUACUUUGAUGUGAAAAAUCAGAAUAACAAACUGUCAACCAUCUCAAAAAUCCAUAAAACGAAAUACAAAUUAAGCAUUUUAUAGCUAACAUCGUAAGAACAAACCGAUGUGGUCGUCCUUGACUGUCUGUUUUAAAUUGCCUUUACAAUGACAAUAUAAACAUUUUUUUAAUUAAAACAAUUGAUAGUUUUGACAUUUGUUUUAUUUACGUUGUUUUCGUGAUAAGACGUUAAGUUGCGAAUAUGCUUUCUGGUUGCGCAUCUGCUUUGAUUAAAGUUAUGACCAUGUUCACUUAAAGUGAGCGGUGUGAUCCUAGGGCUUCGUUUUAGAGUGUGUUUUGUUUGUUUUUAGACGAUUUGUUAGAUAUUCUUGGUCUCAGAAAUAUUCUGCUACACAAUGUUUAAAGGUUAGCGUCCCUCUUGGUCAUUGAAAAGCAAUUUUUAACAUGUAAUAAUGUAAUUUAUAUUGUAAACAAAAUAAUUGGCAUUGCUUUUAUGAAGCUCUUUUUGGUCUUUAUAUUUUUAAUUUUGUUUGCAUAAAGUGUGUGUUCUUCUCUUGUUGUAUAUAUAUAUAUAUAUGUACAUAUUAAUAUUAGUAUGUGUCUGUGUUUAUAUCAAUUAUAUUUAAAACAAGCAAUAAGUAAUUGAACAAUG